rnacentral:rRNA from 1 species
GAUGAACGCUGGCGGCGCGCCUAACACAUGCAAGUCGAACGAUUAAAGCACCUUCGGGUGUGUAUAAAGUGGCGAACGGCUGAGUAACACGUGGGCAACCUGCCCCUCUCAUUGGGAUAGCCACGGGAAACCGUGGAUAAUACCGAAUACUUCGGGACUUCCGCAUGGAAGACUCGAGAAAGCUCCGGCGGAGAGGGAUGGGCCCGCGGCCUGUUAGCUUGUUGGUGGGGUAAUGGCCUACCAAGGCAAUGAUGGGUAGCUGGGUUGAGAGACCGACCAGCCAGAUUGGGACUGAGACACGGCCCAGACUCCUACGGGAGGCAGCAGUGGGGAAUCUUGCACAAUGGGCGGAAGCCUGAUGCAGCGACGCCGCGUGCGGGAUGAAGGCCUUCGGGUUGUAAACCGCUUUCAGCAGGGACGAGGCGAAAGUGACGGUACCUGCAGAAGAAGCCCCGGCUAACUACGUG